GUAGGGUGCAAGCGUUAAUCGGAAUUACUGGGCGUAAAGCGUGCGCAGGCGGUUUUGUAAGUCAGAUGUGAAAUCCCCGGGCUUAACCUGGGAACUGCGUUUGAAACUACAAGGCUAGAGUGUGGCAGAGGGGGGUGGAAUUCCACGUGUAGCAGUGAAAUGCGUAGAGAUGUGGAGGAACACCGAUGGCGAAGGCAGCCCCCUGGGUUAACACUGACGCUCAGGCACGAAAGCGUGGGGAGCAAACAGGAUUAGAUACCCUGGUAGUCCACGCCCUAAACGAUGUCAACUAGUUGUCGGGUCUUAACGGACUUGGUAACGCAGCUAACGCGUGAAGCUGACCGCCUGGGGAGUACGGUCGCAAGAUUA
rnacentral:rRNA from 1 species